rnacentral:rRNA from 1 species
UACGACUACAUAUCAGGCAUAUCAAUAAGCGGAGGAAAAGAAACUAACAAGGAUUCCCUUAGUAACGGCGAGUGAAGCGGGAAGAGCUCAAAUUUGAAAUCUUCAAGGUUUACCUUGACGAAUUGUAGUUUAAAGAAGUGUUUUCUGUUGAGUGUUUCGGUAAAAGUUCUUUGGAAUAGGACAUCAUAGAGGGUGAGAAUCCCGUAUUUGACCAUUAUUUUCAGCUGUGUGAUACACUUUCAAAGAGUCGGAUUGUUUGGGAAUGCAGUCCAAAAUGGGUGGUAAAUUUCAUCUAAAGCUAAAUAUUGGCGAGAGACCGAUAGCGAACAAGUACCGUGAGGGAAAGAUGAAAAGAACUUUGAAAAGAGAGUUAAACAGUACGUGAAAUUGUCAAAAGGGAAGCGUUUGACACCAGUGUUGUUUUCUCGAAAAUCAAUUAAAAAUAACUUUGAUUUUGUGUUGUAUUGACCUUAAAAGCUUUCUUCACUUUUUUCUUGUUAUUUUUAAUGCACUUUUCGUUUAACAAGUCAACAUCAGUUUCUUUUGUUGUAAAAAGGUCAUUGGAAGGUGGCUUUCUUUUCGGAGAAAGUGUUUAUAGCCUUUGACUCCUGCAAUCGGAGAGACUGAGGUCUGCAGCGUAGAUCCUUUUUUGGAUUAGAUUCAUUUGUGCUAAGUUAUAGCUUUUUAUAGACAACAUGUUGACUAUAUUUAGUCUUGUAGCUUACUCGCUUAUGUAAUUUUACCUACGCUUAGGAUGUUGAUCUCUCACAGUCGAGC